GUACUUGUAUUUCAUUUUCCCAUUAGAAGCAGAUCAUUGUUGUCUUCAGAUCCUACCAGAGGCUGAAGGAGGCUCAAAUAAUGUAGAAGAAAAUCACCCCAGAGAAGCCUGCAGAGCC
rnacentral:lncRNA from 12 species